rnacentral:tRNA from 1 species
GGGGCCUUAGCUCAGCUGGGAGAGCGCCUGCUUUGCACGCAGGAGGUCAGCGGUUCGAUCGCGCUAGGCUCCA